AACGAGCAGGAGGAGGAGGGAAGGUGGGGGCGAGGCCGAGAGAGGGGAUGCGAGGAAGCUGGGAUGGGGCUGCGAUAAAGACAGAGAGAGCUGGGAGGAGGGCAGAGAAGAAAACCAGUUAGGAGCAGUGCUUUGAUUUGGAACAGGUCCCCCCGGUCAGCCACGCUGAAGCUGUCCCCGGCUUUGCAAAGAUCUAUCACGUGCACUAGCCUGUUCAGUUCCUCUAAGGCACCUCCCUUUGAAAGGAUCUUGCAAUAACUUGUGCUGGAGGAUUGGAGAGCAUGGGCUUACUUGGGCACAGCCACCUACACUCCACUGGGCACAAGAGCAUCAAGCUCAGAAAAAAUGAAUAACAAAAUGAGUUUUUAAAAUGCUGUUCCAGUUCCAUCAGAAGAAUGACAGGAUUCUAACUCAAAGCCUGAGACUCACAGACCUGUGCCUAGCAAGCCUAAGUCUUGUAUUCUCAUCGAGCCUUGAAGCAGGAGCUGCAACACUCUGACUCACAUAAAGCACGAUGGGGGAAAAGAGAUAAUGGCUAAGAUGGGCCGAGAAGCCAGAAGACUGACAACACUGUUUUGAUAUUUAUGGUGGAAUCCAUCAAGGCCAGAAGACCUUAAAUGACAACAUCCACCAGUGACAUCCCGAAACAACAUAAUGUGGGCGAUAAGGAACCAGGGUCCGAGACAUGUUGGAGUCAGGGUGUCAGAGGAAUAAUAACACCUCUGCCGGAAUCCUGAAUUUGGGCAUAGGAGCGCAUUUGAACUGACAUGUCCAGCUCAAAUUGGACUGACCUGAUGGCCUCAGAGCUGAUUGGCCCAAAGAAGCAUCAAAUCAGAAACAAAGGCAUAACCAUUCUGAGAUCCAGGAAGCCAGAGGAGUAGAUUGAGGCAGUCCGCCUUGAUUGCUUCUCUCCAACACGUGUGUUGCUUCACUUCACUCCCCAGCUACUCUGCACAUCUCUUUGCCUCGUCUCUACAAUCCACAGCACCAUUGGUAAACCCAGGAAGAUUUGAUCAAUCUGGCCAAUUGGUUGACUCCUGCAAAGUUUUGAAUUUGACUUUUCUCCUAAACUUCUCCCUCUCCCUAUUCUCCAAUCCCUCAUCCUUCUCCUCUCCCCCUCCCUUCAGAAUUGUAAUCUGACAGUUUAGGGACUUAAGCUUGCUUGCCUAACUGCUUUUCUAUGCUUUCUAGUUUCUUCAGUAAAAGUUCCCAAGACAAAUCCUGGUUUGAUCUUUGUCUCCCUACGCACUCACCCAUUGAAAGAACCACACCUGGGCGCUUUCCAGACUAGACCCUGCAAUGGGGUCACAUCCUAUCUCAGAAGUGUGCUUCCACACUUCCGACGUCAUGACACUGCAGUCCCUACACUGACAGCAGGGUGCCAUUCACAUUUCCAAUGCCUUGUUUCAAAUUUAAUCGCUGUGAUAUAGAGCUAGGACGUUGUAUAUCUGGCGUGAAAAGGUUGCUGCUUUUUCGGAUUGUUAGUUUCCGCGAGACUGCUCCCCCUGCUGUUUGCGUUUUGACUGCAACUUGCCUGAACGGGAGCAUUUUGCUGCUGUUGACCUGCUAGUCUGGACAGCACCUUAGAGAGUGACUGAACAGAGUUGGUUGAAUAUUUGCUAGUAUGUGGGAUCUAAGAAACCCCGGGCAGGGCUGGUAAGCCUUCCUAAUGAGAAUCAAGCCUGCUGGGGUCGCAGAGAGUUGAAAUAGAUCAAUUGGUGGAUCUUCCCAGAAUCAAGACAGGGCAGAACCCUCCCCUAGAGUGGAGCUUCUGAUUGUAUCAUUCUCCAGCACCUGCUCAGGAUCCACUCUUGACAAGGAGCCGAUUCUCUGUGAGACUUCCAGCCUCGCAUUUACUUUCAAAUCAGAGCACCUCUUGGGAACUGUUCCCCACACCCUCAAGAUUGGAAGCUGGUCUAGUCAAUCAGGCAGGCGAAGCCCUUCAGGUGACCCUUUCGGUUAAGAGGCAACCUCUCAUGGCAAGGAGGGCAUAAGUCCCGAGGGACUGAAAGCAAAGGCCGAGCUCACCAAACUUUUCCUCCAUAUGUGGAACUGCACCUUUGGGCAGGGCUCUGAUGCUCCCGCCUCAGCAGAUGCUUCUCCCCGGAGUGGAACUUCCAAUUCUGUAAGCAGAGAAUAAUGGAAUAGCCUGAAAAUAGAGUCUGAAAUCUUGCUGGUGGGGACUCCAGAGUGGCAGUGGCAGCACCUUUAGGUUAAUCCUCCAGAUCGUAAGAACCCAGUGGCAUGUUGGCAAGAACUGGUCUUUUAUUCCACUAUAGAAUAAUCCCACAGACUAGUAUCGGAAAAUUGGGUAGGCAAAUGCUUUGGUGAACUGGCACACACUUAAUCCCAAAGACCUCCGCUAUUGCUAAAGAAAGCAGGGCCACUGGAGCUGGUUCAAUGCCUCGCUGAUGAGGGCGCAUUGCCGCCAUCUAGUGAUGCAUUGGUGAAACUACAGUCACAGCCAUUCGAAAGGAGGGCUCACGCUGCCCAGAACAAACGGAGCUGUGCCAGUCAACCAGGGAACCCCCCCCUCAGUCUGUAACAGGUGUUUGUGUAAAGUUUGACCCAUGUUAGAUUUCUGAAAGAUAAAUAAUGGCCUAUUUUACAAUAAUGCUCUCGUCCUAAACAUGGGGAGCUACCGUAUACCAAGUCAGACCAUUGGUCAGGUAGCUCAAUAUUGUCUACACUGACUGGCAGCAGCUCAGUCAGGAAUCUCCCCCAGUUCUACCUGGAGAUACCAAGGAUUGAACCUGGAACUUUCAGGUGCUCUACCAUUGAGCUAAGACCCCAGCCUCUAAGUGGAAUACCUUACCGUGCUCACAUGUAGUCACCCAUCCAAAUGCAAACCAAGGUAGAUCCUACUUAGCAAAUGGACAUUUCAUGCUGACUACUACAAGGCCAGCACUCCUUCCUAAUGGAAGUGAGCCCACGGGGAACUGCUUUUUAUAUAUAUUGACACUUUUCAUUGAUUGAUUGAUUGAUUGAUUGAUAAUAAUUUUAAAAAGCGUGCUGAGUUAUGUUGUUAUGGGGUGGCUAGCAAAUAAAGUUUAUUAUUGAUGAUGA